rnacentral:tRNA from 2 species
GGUGUGGCCUAGUUGGUUAGGGCGCCAGAUUGUGGCUCUGGAGGUCGUCGGUUCGAAUCCGAUCAC